rnacentral:lncRNA from 1 species
GGUUGGUCCCGGCGGGGGAAGGAGAAAGUGAGACUCGGUGUCAUCACCAAUCCGUCGCCAGAAGGGGAGGAAACUGGAAUCCAGCAGCGGCGAGCAGCAGCUGGGCGGUCACAUCUGGAAAUGGAAAGCCGACCUCCCCCUCCUCCUCCACCUCUUCCUCCUCCUCCUCCUCCUCCUCUCACCCAGGAUCACUUCCGAAACCACUUGGCCUUCAGCCCCUGCCUCGGCCAGAGGUUUCAUUUUUAACUGAAUAUUUACGAAAGCUGAAAGCGUGCGAGGGGGGUGGGGUGGAAAUAGCGGCUGCUUCUUUUCCAAGGAUUUAUUUAAUGGGGAUGUGUUCAAGGCAAGACCGAAUUCAGAAGGAUAUCGACGUCGUGAUCCAGAAGUCCAGAGCUGAGGACUGCCUGUUUGCAGGACAACUGUGCAGACUACAAAGCUUCGGAAAACCGGAGAGGCUGAGUCGACUAAUCGUGUUGUUGCACGUUAGAAACGCUUGCAUUGCCUGACUCUGAAACCAGAAGGGCGGCCGAAUGGCCUUCACCCUCCAUUAACCCUCGCCUCCUUCAGAAGCCAGUGCCUCUGGAAAUGCCUGGAUCUGCGACCCCAGCCUGAGCCUAGUAGGGCCCAAGGGAAGCUGAACGCCCCGACGGCUCUCAUGGGCACCGGCAACAGUUUUCCGUUUGUGCCUACUCCACCUGCUGUCUUUGUUGGGUCAGCGAACAUCGCCUCCCUCUACCGCUCAAUCAGCAAAAGGGACCGCCCUUGAGGACCUCACCCGCGGCUCACUCCCCUCCCAACUUCGCGGGCAUCGCCUCCGGUCGCCUCUUCCGAAGGCCUAACGAGCAUGUUAGCUGCGAACGGAGGUGAGGAGGCUCCGCUGACUGACCGGUGCCCAUGUCCAGGGCACGCACAAACGCCAUGACUUGGCUUGGCCUCUCUCUUAGUUAUUCACAAGCUCAGCCCGAUAGGCACCUCUGGGGCGGCGACGGCAAAGAGGGUGCGCUUAUUAAGUGCAGCUCCACGGGGACUGGCCUCUGCACGGCUGUGUACACCUGAGCGAGACGCUCAGUCGCUCUCUAAAGCCGCUUCUGCGGAUGACAGACACGGAGAUAAACGUGAGAGGUGGCCCACCACGACUUGCCCUCCUUUGCCCGGGUUUGCCCCUCGCUGCGGAGGCUGUUCUACAUCUGGCCCUUGGAGCAGGCCGGCUGACAGCGUGGUAAAGGAAGAUUUCUGCGGGAGGGCGGCCAGUGCAAAACAAUUCCCUGACCGGGAAUCGAACCCGGGCCGUGGCGCUUUCAGCACCGAAUCCUAGCCACUAGACAACCAUGCAGAUGCGGAAAGCUGCUUUCUCUCCCUUCUUCGACCUGAAGCGACACUUUCCUGUGCUCUAGGAGGACUUGGGUCUUGUGAGAGUCUCCCUUUGCUCCUGGAGUCGUCUCACAAGGCCGUUCACUCCCUGCUUUCUUCAAAAAAAGAACCUGCAGGCGACACACCAAGGGCUCCACGAGGGAGUCCUGAGUACUGGAGCGAGUUGCGGCCACGCGGCCGCAGCUCACCACUGGCCUAGAGAUGCCCUUUGCCAGGCGGCAGCAACUGACAAGAUGGUCGCGGGUCGCCGGGUCCGGAGCCGCCCACCAGGUUGCCAGGAGGAGGCGGGAGCGGGGAGGCGCCCGAGGUGAGACGGGGGCACCCUCUGCAUCAUAAAGGACCCAGACCCCGGCACCCUCAACAUCAUAAGGAAUCAGACGGAUGCGGAAACCGAGGCGGGCUGGAUAGGAAACUCUUUCCAGGAAGGCUCCGGGGCACUCAACUGGUCUCCAACCUUCCCCUGCAACCUGUGACGCCUGCCAUUUUCCCAUUUUAGGCGAUGGCAACGCAACCCCUCCGUUUGCUCUGGGCAAAACUUCGAGAGUUCCCUCUGAAGCUGGAGCUUUUUCCUCAGAUCCAAGAUCCAAUUGGUCACCAAUUCGUGAUUUCCGUCGGCCAAGUGCGUGGGCAUUGAUCUACACGCGAGUUUCUCCACCUCUGCCGAAUGGCUACUUCGGGGUGGGGGAGGGGCCCUCCCGCCGUGGAUUGCAAGGUGUUUAGCAGCAUCUGUCUCCUCCGCUGACUAGACACAUGCCAGGGGGAUAACAUUCUCCCUCCCGCUUCCCCCAGCCGCGGCCUAGUGUCCCAGCGGGGUUGGGAGAGGCAUGUGAGGGCGAAGUUGCCCCCUGUUGAGAACCAUUGCUGCGCGUAGUCCUUCUCUCUGAACUUGUGCAGAGGACUCUCCAGGUGAAGGCUCAAGGGUGGAUCCAGCUCGAGACACCCUCGCUCCCCCUCACAGUCGGACCUUAGGAUUUAGGCUUUAACAUCUCCACAUCAUGAGAUUCGAAACCUUUAGGUCUUGUCUUCCGUUCUGUCCUCCAAAUCGGCCUCUUCCGAGCCUGUUGACCAGGGCCAGCCGGGCAGAGGGCUGGGCUCGCUCAACGAGGCUCCUCUCGCACCUCCUGGAGCUUCAGGCUUCUUUCCGUUGCAGAGAAGCUUUAUGGGCCAAUUCGUUCGGCAUCCCCGGGGGCAGGUGCGCGGUGCGCGGGGAAGAAGAGGAUUUGACUGCGGUUCUCCACCCCCGGCGCCCAACCUCCACCCCGGUGCGCGCGCUCUUCCAGGCUCCUGCUGGUCCCACUUGCCAGGAGUUAGGUCUCAGGUCAGCCUGAGCUCCUGAGACGCCCAGGCCCGGAAAGACACGUAGGGGAAACCAUCUGCUCACUUCUGUCCUGUCCGGAAGGGAUCCCUUUCUGACGGGAAAGAAAGGCGGUGAGUCCUGUCCUGUUGAGUAGGCGGAAGAGAGAUCAAAGGGAAGACAAGAAAAAUCCUGUGAGUUUUCAGGAUCUAAAGUUACCAUGAGGUCGACCUAACCUCCUCUGGAGGUCCUCCCGGUCCUCCCGUGGCUGUCGAAGGUGAAUCUAGCUUCCGUCUCCAGUUCGCCAAGGCGGACAAAGCCGACGACAAUGGGCCUGUCCACUAUCUUCUUUCAUAUGCACAAAAUGUCAGCUCUUCUUGUUUCUAACUUGCAACAUCCCACCUGAUGACCAGCUCAGCAAAUUAGAGACCCUCCAUGGGAUUCCAUCUCUGUCUUAGUUCGGGCUUCCAUAACUAUAUACCAUAAACUGGGUGGCUAAUUCACGACAGAAAUUUAUUUCUCACAGUUCUGGAGGUUGGAAGUCCGAGAUCAAGGUGCCAACAUGGUAGGGUUAUGAUGAGGGACUUUUUUCUGGUUGUAGACUGCCACCUUCUCAUUGUAUCCUCAGGGGGCAGAGAGAGCUCCCUGGGGUCCCUUUUAUAGUGGCAUUAGUCCCACUCAGACUAACGGGACUAAAUCCAGACCCAGUUAUUGCAAUGUGUGCAAAAGAACAAGGACUUGUACUAUCUGACUUCAAGGCUUACUAUAAGCUAUUACAGACAAGGCAUCAGGAGGGACAAAUAGAUAAACAGACUGAGUUAAGAGACCUGAAACUGAUCCACAGCCAUACAGUCAAUAAAUGAGCUUUCAAUGAAAGCAGUUCAAUAGAAGAAAAUAAAUCAUUUCAAUUAAUGGACUUUCAUAUGGAGGUGGGGGAGACCAACAAUGUUAUUCUCCCUCACACUACAUACAAAAGUAAUUUGAGGUGCAUUAUACACCAAAACUUAAAAGUUAAAGAUAUAAAGCAUUUCAAGGAUACUCUGUAGGUAAAGAUUAGCCUACCAACAAGUAGGACACUGAAAAAAUAUAUAUAAAAGACAUGAUAAAUUAGACUUCAUCAACAUUAGCCAUACCUUCUCAUCAAAAGAUACCACUAAGAAAGUGAAAAGGCAAGCAAGCCACAGACAGAGAGAAAAUAGUCACAAAACGUAUCUGACCUCCACAUCCUGUAAUUAGAAUUAUUGUGGUCUGGUACACUGCACCCAGUUUCUGCAGGAGUACUUUCUGGGUGUCUCUAAUGAGUAAGAGAGGGCCCCAUGGGAUAUUCCUACAGUUCCCAGAUGAACAGUGGGAAAGACUCUACGUUGACAAACCCCGGGGACCUGAAACCUCAGGUCCUCAAGGAGGGUAGAGGAUACCUGGACCCUGACCCAGACCCCUAGAUGGGCUGUGCCAAGAGACCCAGCAAGGGAAGGGAUUCCCUCCUGCCUCAGGUUCUCUGUUCUUCUGUGGUUAGAAGACCUGAACCCAACUCCCUCCCCAAGCAGUGGAGAUAGGGCUUUUCCAAGGGCUGGGGAUCUUGCUGUCCUAAGGACAGCUGAGCAAGGAGGUCGAGGAGGAUCUUGGGUGGUGGAGGAGAGGAAACCGGGUAAGAUGUGUGAAGCAGUCGGCUAUACCAGGCACAGAGAGGACCCACUGGGACACAAGAGCCUGCAUGUGAAGCCAGGCCUUGGGCCACCUUGUUCCUCAAAGGGGUGCUUACUUCCAUGGGAUCUUCAAAGGGACUGUGGAAAGAGAAGCCUUCAGCCCACACCUCUGAAUGCUUUUCCACCACAGCAUGCCCUGUGGCCUGUAUCCUGCUGGUGUGGAACAGUCAGACCCCUGCAGGGCUGCAGAGCCUCUGUACUGGGCGGCAUCCCAGCCUGAGUGCCAGAGCUCAGUGGGCAGGCCCCCGAGCAAGUAGAGAGGAGGGCACCUUUUGGACAGAACCUGUGGGACAAGAGCGACGUCUCAUCCGUUCAGGUUCCUCACAAAAUGAGAGUCAGGAAGAUCAGGGUGCAGACCUGAUUUCCCACGAAGGGCUGAAAGCAGACAACCGGAGGGAGAGCAGCACCUGGGCCAAUGAGGUAGAAGACAGAAGACCACAGUGUACUUCUGCCCUCAACCUCACCCCCUCCCACCUACAUCCUCCACACCCCCUGACCACCUUCUUCAGAAACGUAAUAGGAAUCAAGAUCCCCCCUGGCCUGGUUGCUAUGGGAGGCACAGUGGCCUGAUGGAGCCUGAGGCAGGUGUGGGAAGAUGUGGAUUGUCUAACUGGAGGUUGGGAGUCCAGGGUGCAGAAGGAGAAGCUUGGAGUGCAGGAUUUGGUGGUAUGUGUGUGGCAGUAGGCACUAUGUUCUAAUUGCCAGUUUUUUUUUCUUCUUCCUUUUUUUCUCUAGCUAAACAAGCACUGGCCUUGAGAUAAGCAAUGCUGAAGCACUUGCAGCUCACCUAUUACCAUAAACUGACUGAGCCCUCCCUACACAAGCCGUAACUACUGCUUUGAUUGGACAAGAGACUGAUUUCAGUAGUUUUCUCUUGAUAAGAGACCACUGGCCGUGGGCGGGUUCUGGACAGUUUACAGAAGCUAUGCACUUGAUUGCCUUUGUGUCCCUGCUUCACCUUUUGAAGCAUAGGGCCUAAUUAUAAUGUAUUUAAAUGUUGUCUCCACCCCAAAGUGAACAUGGGUUGCAUGUAACAGGCAUGUUUACUCAGCAUGCAUGCAGCAGGAUCCCUUCACAAAUAUUCAGAGCUCCCCCUAUUCCCUGUUGAAUAUGUAUAUGUGGCCAGCCAGAUCAACGUAAAUCACUAUUCGCCCUCCCCUCCCUGGAAACCUACUUUUCGGGUUUCAGCAGGAAGCUAUGCCUCCCAGUCUGUCAGAAUGGCCACUUGCAGGCUGUAACCCUUUAUAAAAAAAUAAAAUCUCCUUUCUAAAUUUA